rnacentral:rRNA from 1 species
UGGGGAAUAUUGCGCAAUGGGGGCAACCCUGACGCAGCGACGCCGUGUGAGGGAAGAAGGCUUUCGGGUCGUAAACCUCUGUCGGGAAGGAAGAACCUCUCGGGGCCGAACAGGUCCUGGGACUGACGGUACUUCCAGAGGAAGCACCGGCUAACUCCGUGCCAGCAGCCGCGGUAAUACGGAGGGUGCAAGCGUUAAUCGGAAUCACUGGGCGUAAAGCGCGUGUAGGCGGCUUUUUAAGUCGGACGUGAAAGCCCUCGGCUCAACCGGGGAAUUGCGUUCGAUACUGGGAGGCUUGAGUCCUGGAGAGGGUGGCGGAAUUCCGGGUGUAGGAGUGAAAUCCGUAGAUAUCCGGAGGAACACCGGUGGCGAAGGCGGCCACCUGGACAGGUACUGACGCUGAGACGCGAAAGCGUGGGUAGCAAACAGG